rnacentral:rRNA from 1 species
AUGAGCGAUGUGUUCAGCUAUGGGAUCAUGAUGCUAGAGGUCUUCACAGGGAAAAGACCCACUGACCCGCUGUUCUAUGAGGAGCUCAGCUUGCGGCAAUGGGUUACUGAAGCAUUUCCAACCAGGCUUAUAGAUGUUGUCGACAACGAGGUUCUAUCACACGGAAUCAAGAGUGAUUGCCAUGAUGGCAAUGACAGCACAUCGAGAGAGCAGUCUAUCAUUCUCAACACAUGCCUUGCAUCUGUAAUAGAGUUCAGUUUACAGUGCUCAUCAACGAUAUCUGAUGAAAGAACCGCAAUGGACAAGGUGGUAGUGAAGCUGAACAAGGUAAAGGUAGAUUACUGCUUGCAAAUGAGGUAG